CAGUCCCUCUGCCAGAACAACAACACAUGUCAAGAGUUUUCACAGGGAACUGUUUUGUGAAGGUUACAUUUAUAGAUGAACUAAAUGGUGGUACCUCACUGAAGGAUACAUUUCUCUGCAGAUUGCAGCUUGAGUUCUGUUGAAAAAGGAACCAUUGUUUUAAACAUGUGCAGCUUGUUUGGUCAUUCAUUUUAUGUUUUUUUCCAAACAAACAAACAAACACCCAUCUGACUGGGCCACGCAGGAGUGUGUACUCACACUUUGGAGGAGAUCGGUGACGUUGAGCAGCAGAUUCCUGAAGAGCAGAGAGCACUGAGCACAGCCGCUGUCCCCUGCUCUCAGUGGCAGCGCCGAGGUAGCACUGGGACAGAGGGUCAGGAGUUGGAGCUGCAACAGCAGCGGCAGCAGCAGCGGGAGCAGAGCACUGCUUGACGGGUCUGCACGACAACACAGGCAGACGACGCUGAAAGGAAACUCACACGUUAUUUCCUCCUACGAAUGAACACAAACAAACAAACGUGGGAAGUCACGCUGCUUCUUUCAUAUCUGGAGAGAAAGUAUUUUCUCAGCCGGCGUCAGAGUGUGGUGUAACUGUGGGG